UGCUUCACUUCAACGCAUGCUCUGCUUCGCUUCUGCCGUCAAACCUCCGCUUCUUCUUCCGUUAAACCUUCUGCUUCACUCUCAAACUUCUUUUUCCGUCAAACCUUCAACUUCAUUUUACGCUCAACACAGUCGUUCGUGAGCCAAUUUGUGAUGAAAGCAUUUCGCUAAGUGUUCAAUUUGGGGUUAGUGAUUCGCAAGAGCUUUUUAAUCUUUCUCUUCUCUACGCUGUUCUUUGAUUGAUUGCUUCCAUUUAAGUUCAUUGUAUAAUUCCAGAAUGAACUUGAGGCUGCAAAAUCUGAGAUUAAGAAGUGGCAUUUUUCAUUUCAAAAUGAACCUUUUAUAUCUGCUGGGACCACUCCAGCACCAAAAUUGGUGAUUAAUUAUCUUCAAGCUCUGAAAUCAUCUGAAGAGUCUUUAAGAGAGCAGCUUGAAAAAGCAAAGAAAAAGGAAGCUGCAUUCAUUGUAACAUUUGCAAAACGAGAACAAGAGAUAGCAGAGUUGAAGGUUGGAUGUGUAAGGGAUCAAAGACACCUUGUCAAUUGUGAAAGGUGUGUUGUUGGAUGCUGAGGAGAAGAGGGAGCAGAAGCAUGGGGUGCGUGAAUGGCUCAGGCAGAUUCAAAACGUAUGCUUAGAUGCUGAAGAUAUAUUGGAUGGAUUUCAGUGCCAAAAUUUGAGAAAGCAAGUUGUCAAAGCUUCAGGCAACACCAGAAUGAAGGUAGGCCACUUCUUUUCUUCCUCUAAUUCUCUGCUGCCAGCCUUCUGAAGUGGCUC